rnacentral:lncRNA from 1 species
AACAUAUUAAGUAUUAUUUGGUAAUUGAUAAAAGUAGACAAGAAGUUGGAUUUAGUUCUGUAACAUUUUUGUGAUUUUAUUUUUAUAGGUUGGAAGUGCGACAGGAAGAAAAGUUUCAUCUCUGAAAACACAGGUUUGCAAUAAUAUAUUUUAUCUUUAAAUCAUAAUUGAGGUAUAGGCAAUUAAGUAUUUAGUCUGUCCAAAAGCUCAGUUUCUAUAUCACUGUCACAAUUCAUAAACUAUUGACAUUUCUUGGUGUCUGUCAUCUCUGAACUUGUUGAAAAUUCUCAUUUGAAACCACAGAAAGUUACAGAUAAGGUAAAUGGUGGGGUCUAAAUUGAAAUUGUUUUAAUUUUUCAUCCUUUGCCAAAAUGUAGUUUAAAUUAUACUUUCUUUAAUAAUACAUGCAUAAGAAAGAUUUUGGGUAUCAGGGCUUUUUUCAAGCCAUUGAUUACUCAGAAUUGCCCGACUUUAUAUACAUCAUACAUGAAAAAAACCCAAAAACAUGAACAUUUUGUGUCAAAGGAAGAGAACAAGACGAUAGAAUUAAAAAAAAAAAAAAAAAACACUCUUAUAAUGUGAUUUCUGAAAAUAAGAUAAAAAAGGAGUUCACAGAACUCGUGUUCCUGCUACAAAACAAUACAGGUAAAUAUCUAACACAUACCUCCACAAAAGUUACAUGAUCUGAGUUAUCUCCCCUUAUGUGACAUUGUUGAAAAAAACUGAAUCAUUCAAAAAAUAUUCUGUAUUUGCUAAAACAGUUUAAAAUAAGAAAACACAUAUAAUUUUCUUAUUUAGAUGAAAGGUCUUAAGGAAUCAUCUACCCUCAAAAUUACAAGAAUUUCUAAAUAGACCAAUGGUAUUUUGCUAUAUAACAAUCCAAUACAGCAGAAGACACCCAAUCUACCUUAAUCCUGCCUGAGUUUUCCUUUAAAUGUAUAAUUUAUUAAAGAAGGAGGUGUGAUAAGAGCUAUAUUUUUUAUUGCUUCUAAAUUUUCAAAAGGGAAAGUUCCUUAAUCUUUUAAAAAAUCUUGGUGGUUCUAUAUAUAUAUAUUGAUUUUAUAAAUUGUUAGUUUUGUGUCACUGUGAACAUGUUGAAAUUGUCAGAAUUGACCAUAAAUAUCCAUUUUGCACAAAUUGAAAAAAACUAGUUCUACUGGCCCAUAGCCAUACCCAACAAAUAUAAGCAAAUAAAUAUUUUAGGUCAAUGGAAUUUGCCUGACAGCACUUAAAGUUACCCUUUGGAUCAAAAGGUUGUGUAUCGCUAUGCUACGAGAAUGUUUUCUAUAGAUUAUUCCAAAAGUAAACCAAAGACAUGCAUAGUAAGGGAAAUCUGUGUUAUUUUGGGACUUUUAUAGCCGAAUAUUUCCGUACAAUGCAUAUUGUUGCUUACAUCCACUUCAUUUGAACUAGUUGUCUCAUUGGCAAUUAUACCACAUCUCACCUUAGUGACCUCUCAGUAAUUUUGUAUCAGUAUUAAUUUGAUAUUAGAAGAAAAAAAUAGAAUUUAAAGGUUUUAUGCUAAUAAAUCUGCUAAAAGUAAAACUUUUGGAAGUUUGAAAUAUAGAAAAAAAGUCUGAC